rnacentral:rRNA from 1 species
CCUACGGGGGGCAGCAGUGAGGAAUAUUGGUCAAUGGUCGAGAGACUGAACCAGCCAAGUCGCGUGCAGGAUGACGGCCCUACGGGUUGUAAACUGCUUUUAUCGGGGGAUAAAAAGAGUCACGUGUGACGCAUUGUGAGUACCGCAAGAAAAAGCAUCGGCUAAUUCCGUGCCAGCAGCCGCGGUAAUACGGAGGAUGCGGGCGUUAUCCGGAUUUAUUGGGUUUAAGGGGUGCGAAGGCGGAAGUGCAAGCUAGCGGUAAAAUUCCGGGGCUCAACCCGGUACCGGCGGGGAAACUGGCUUGCUUGAGUGCGCGAGAGGUAUGCGGAAUGCGUGGUGUAGCGGUGAAAUGCAUAGAUAUCACGAAGAACUCCGAUUGCGAAGGCAGCAUACGGGCGCGCAACUGACGCUGAUGCACGAAGGCGCGGGUAUCGAACAGGAUUAGAGACCCGUGUAGUC